CCCUUAGAUGUUCUGGGCUGCACGCGCGCUACACUGAAGCGUUCAACGAGUAUUCACCUUGUCCGGGAGGGUUGGGUAAUCUUUUGAAAACGCUUCGUGAUGGGGAUAGAUUAUUGCAAUUAUUAAUCUUCAACGAGGAAUUCCUAGUAAGCGCGAGUCACCAGCUCGUGCUGAUUACGUCCCUGCCCUUUGUACACACCGCCCGUCGCUCCUACCGAUUGAGUGGUCCGGUGAGGCUUUGGGAUCUGAGCGGAAAGAGCGUUUCGCUGUUUCUACUCGGAAAACUCAGUCGAACCUUAUCAUUUAGAGGAAGGAGAAGUCGUAACA
rnacentral:rRNA from 1 species